ensembl:lncRNA
UAACAGCAAUGGCUUGCAGGCUUCUUCAUUUACGUUUUUGAUGUUUGAUGUAAUGUGAACAUAAGGCCACUAGAUGGCAAAGUCUGUUAAGGUGCAGAACAACCCUUUUAUGUAACUGCGCUGUACUUUGGUAUUAUCUGAGAUAACCACGAAGGGACGGAUGAGAGAGGAUCUCAUCUUUUAAACUGCGGUGUCCUGUUUAAGUCACGGGGCCAGAUAUGUGAUUGGUUUUCUCAGUGCGACAUCAAUCUACGACCGCUAUUGUGCUCUUCUAUACAACACUGAUCACAGAGGGAUUACACUUCUUUGCCUUCCUGCAGAUUUUUCAUUACUGAAGAGACACAUUUCUUAGUAAUACUACGUUUGUCUUUUUAUGUGAAAUGUGGCCCGUCUGAGGUAGACGUUUCAUUUUGAUACUGAUGACGAUGACUCAUUCAUUUCCACGUUUAAAGACUGGACGGUGAAAUUUCACAGUCAGACUGACACAAAGUCAGCUCGGUUUGAAUCUCGUGGCUUCUGGAGGAAACCGCUCCGACCAUGUUCUAAUAAAAGAAGGAAAUCUGCAUCUCGGUUUUGCUCCUGCAGCCUUCUCCUCCCUAUCUCUGUCUUUCUCAGCCAGAGUGAAAACAGUCCUCCAGUUGCCGGUGACCCACUUGCCUACAGCACCAGAGGAAGAGAACCGGAGGAGUAGGAGAAAAGGGGCGGGGAGGAGGUAGAGGUGAAAACAUGUGGGAGACUGCUAUGAUUAAUGUGCUUUCAGAGCUGGAGUGAGUGAGAGAGUGAGAAAGCGCAAGAGAAAGAGUGAGAGAGAGAGAGCAGAACAAGGGCACCUGUGAUACGUGGUGAUGGUGGAGAGAGAACAAGUAGGCUUUGGUGAGGUACGCUCAACAAAUAAAUGAUCCUAUCUUCAUUUUAAUGCAUCCAUGUGAAACUGUGAAGCAUAAAAGUAAUUCAAGGUUCUUUAUUCGUCACAUGCAUAGUUAUACAGGUAUAACACACAGUGAAAUGAAACCUGACACCAUUAUAUAUAAUAUAUAGAUUAGGUGAAUGUGCAGUAGUGGCAUGUAUGCUGCAAGCAGGUGAAUUCUGUACAUUAAGUGAAUUAAAUAACAAUAAACAAUCUGACCAUUUUACAGAAUAGACAAUAUUACAACCAAAUUCCCCCUUGUGGGACAAUUAAAGGAUUAUUCUAUUCUAUUCUAUUCUAUUCUAUUCUAUUCUAU